rnacentral:rRNA from 1 species
UGUGACUGAGCGGCGGACGGGUGAGUAACGCGUGGGCAACCUGCCUUACACAGGGGGAUAACAGUUAGAAAUGACUGCUAAUACCGCAUAAGACCCCGGGACCGCAUGGUUCCGAGGUAAAAACUCCGGUGGUGUAAGAUGGACCCGCGUCUGAUUAGGUAGUUGGCGGGGUAACGGCCCACCAAGCCGACGAUCAGUAGCCGACCUGAGAGGGUGACCGGCCACAUUGGGACUGAGACACGGCCCAGACUCCUACGGAAGGCAGCAG